rnacentral:lncRNA from 1 species
CUCGGUGCUGGCAUUCGGAGAGGGCCCAGAGAAUGAAAAUUACCAGCUUCCCUGAUGAAUCACUGCUUUGAAAAUUCACCCUUGUGAGAAUCCUGUGACUAUUUAGAAAAAAAAAAAAAUAUAUAAUUAUGUUACAAGCAUGUCUAUCACUCAUGUAAUUAUCCCUUUCUAGGUUUGAUGUGGACAGGGCAGCAUUCCUUAAAGCACCAUAAACCGGCCAGGACCAAUAAUGGCUUUAGAAACCAAGUGGAGAAGUUCUCACAAUUAAGGUGGGGAAUGAGGACAGCUGCGGACAGGCACAUAAAUACACAGAAAGGCAGCUCUGUGUGCACACUGUGGGCUCUGGGACUGGGACAACACCUCCUGCUCCGACCUUGGCUUGGACUAAAGAGCUUCCUGCAGCAUGAGGGCUACAGGUGCCUUAGUGCUUCUCAGCCUGCUGCUGCUCUCUUUCUUCUCGGUUCCAGAUGUAGCAGGUCAAGAGAUUGAAGAGAUCUGUAGAGAGUUCCUAAACAGAAGCGUGUACUGCACGAGGGAGUCCAACCCUCACUGCGGCACAGAUGGCGUCACCUAUG